rnacentral:rRNA from 1 species
AGCGAACGUUAGCGGCGGGCCUAACACAUGCAAGUCGAACGAGAAUGAGGGGGCAACCCCUCUAGUAAAGUGGCGGACGGGUGCGUAACACGUAGGUAAUUUACCUUCCGGCGGGGGACAACAGUCCGAAAGGAUUGCUAAUACCGCGUACGUCGGCGAGAUCUCCGGAUCUUGUCGGGAAAGAUGGCCUCUUCUUGAAAGCUGUCACCGGAAGAUGAACCUGCGGCCCAUCAGCUAGUUGGUGAGGUAACGGCUCACCAAGGCUAAGAC